UUUUCCGCCCCGGGAUAACUAGCCGAAAGGUUAGCUAAUACCAGAUACGCUCAUCGAGCGGCAUCGCUUGAUGAUGAAAGCAGCAAUGCGCGGAUUGAGGAGCCUGCGGCCCAUUAGCUAGUUGGUGAGGUAAUGGCCCACCAAGGCAACGAUGGGUAGCUGGUCUGAGAGGACGACCAGCCACACUGGGACUGAGACACGGCCCAG
rnacentral:rRNA from 1 species